rnacentral:rRNA from 1 species
UAAAACGUAGGAGACGAACGUUAUCCGGAGUUACUGGGCGUAAAGGGCGUGUAGGCGGUAUGUUAAGUCUGGCGUGAAAGCUCUCGGCUAAACCGGGAGAGGUCGUUGGAUACUGGCACACUAGAGGAUGGUAGAGGCGUGUGGAAUUCCGGGUGUAGUGGUGAAAUGCGUAGAGAUCCGGAGGAACACCAGUGGCGAAGGCGACACGCUGGGCCA